rnacentral:lncRNA from 1 species
CCCUCAGCCUUGAUGCUGCUCCUGUCUGCACGUGAUCCUCCAGAGCAAGACCAGAGGCAAUCCAGGGAAGACUGCUGGGAUGAAUACCUUCCAUCCUCUCCCUAUGUACCAGAAAUGGGAUCGUCUGACAGUGCCCAAUGGGCUGGAGGCCGUGAGCAUGGAGAGCAAGGGCUGCCUGAGCAGCGGACGGUGAAGAGACAGAUGGGACAUCGUUGGAACGCAGGCCCAAGGAGAGGCCCCGUGCAGGGACAGGUCGAGCACCCCGGGAUGGUCCCUGAAGAGAGCUGCGAUUCCAGAAGGGAUACGACGUUUGGGAUGGACUCUGGACAGGUAUAAGAACCCCCUCCCUCCCCCUAGCCCCUCCCCUCGAGAGCAGAGGGAAGGGGUUGGGGGGACGGAAGGGGUUAGGGGAGGGGAUGGG